rnacentral:rRNA from 1 species
UACGUAGGGUGCGAGCGUUAAUCGGAAUUACUGGGCGUAAAGUGUGCGCAGGCGGCCGCGCAAGUCGAGUGUGAAAGCCCCGAGCUUAACUUGGGAAUUGCGCUCGAAACUACGUGGCUGGAGUGUGGCAGAGGAAGGUGGAAUUCCACGUGUAGCGGUGAAAUGCGUAGAGAUGUGGAGGAACACCAGUGGCGAAGGCGACUCUUUGGCCUGUAACUGACGCUGAGGCGCGAAAGCGUGGGGAGCAAACAGG